rnacentral:rRNA from 1 species
UAACACUUAGAAAUAGGUGCUAAUACCGCAUAACAACAGAAAGCGCAUGCUUUUUGUUUGAAAACCAAGGUGGUAUGGGAUGGACCCGCGUCUGAUUAGCUGGUUGGCGGGGUAAAGGCCCACCAAGGCGACGAUCAGUAGCCGGCCUGAGAGGGUGGACGGCCACAUUGGGACUGAGACACGGCCCAAACUCCUACGGGAGGCAGCAGUGGGGAAUAUUGCACAAUGGGGGAAACCCUGAUGCAGCGACGCCGCGUGAGUGAAGAAGUAAUUCGUUAUGUAAAGCUCUAUCAGCAGGGAAGAAAAUGACGGUACCUGAGUAAGAAGCCCCGGCUAACUACGUGCCAGCAGCCGCGGUAAUACGUAGGGGGCAAGCGUUAUCCGGAUUUACUGGGUGUAAAGGGAGCGUAGACGGCAGUGCAAGUCUGGAGUGAAAGGCGGGGGCUCAACCCCCGGACUGCUCUGGAAACUGUACGGCUGGAGUGCAGGAGAGGUAAGUGGAAAUCCUAGUGUAGCGGUGAAAUGCGUAGAUAUUAGGAGGAACACCAGUGGCGAAAGCGGCUUACUGGACUGUAACUGACGUUGAGGCUYCGAAAGCGUGGGGAGCAAACAGGAUUANAUACCCUGGUAGUUCACGCCCGUAAACGAUGAUUACUAGGUGU